rnacentral:rRNA from 1 species
UACAGGGACUGCAAGCGUUAUUCGGAUUCACUGGGCGUAAAGGGUGCGCAGGCGGUUGGGUGUGUCAGAUGUGAAAUCCCGAGGCUUAACCUCGGAACUGCGUCUGAAACUACUCGACUAGAGUACUGGAGAGGGAAACGGAAUUCACGGUGUAGCAGUGAAAUGCGUAGAUAUCGUGAGGAACACCAGAGGCGAAGGCGGUUUCCUGGACAGUUACUGACGCUCAGGCACGAAAGCAUGGGGAGCAAAAGGG